rnacentral:rRNA from 1 species
UGAGGAAUUUUGCUCAAUGGGCGAAAGCCUGAAGCAGCGACGCCGCGUGAACGAUGAAGUCUUUCGGGAUGUAAAGUUCUGUCAGCAGGGAAAAUUAUGAUGGUACCUGCAGAGGAAGGCCCGGCAAACUAUGUGCCAGCAGCCGCGGUAAUACAUAGGGGCCAAGCGUUGUCCGGAAUUAUUGGGCGUAAAGGGCAUGUAGGCGGUGAUCUAAGUCAGAAUUAAAAGACAGGAGCUCAACUCCUGUGCGGUUCUGAAACUGGAUUGCUAGAGUUUGGGAGAGGGAAGUGGAAUUAACAGUGUAGCGGUGAAAUGCGUAGAUAUUGUUAAGAACACCCGUGGCGAAGGCGGCUUCCUGGACCAAAACUGACGCUGAGGUGCGAAAGCGUGGGUAGCAAACAGG